rnacentral:rRNA from 1 species
UACGUAGGAGGCGAGCGUUGUCCGGAGUUACUGGGCGUAAAGCGUACGCAGGCGGUCCAAUCAGUCUGUAGGGACAGGGCACAGCUUAACUGUGUCAGGCUUAUGGAAACUGUUGGACUUGAGGGCUUCAGAGGGAUGGGGAAUUCCGGGUGGAGUGGUGAAAUGCGUAGAGAUCCGGAAGAACACCAAAGGCGUAGGCACCAUCCUGGGGAGUCACUGACGCUCAUGUACGAAAGCUAGGGGAGCGAACGGG